AGGAGGCGGCGGGGGCGGGGGUGGCGGGGCAAAGGGCGGAGAUAAUAAGAAGGGCGGUGCUGCUGCGCCUGCGUCGGGCAAGUCGGAGGCCAAGGCCGACGCGAAAGGCGGGAAUAAAGGUGGCAAAAAAGGUGGGAAAAAAUGACCUCAGCUGUACCCACUAUCAAUUCAUCCCCCAAUUAUCACUUGUUAAUUUAUUGAAGAUAUUGAGAAAGAAAUUUUAUUAAUUUAUAUUCAAACACAAAUAAAAAAAUCUUCAUUUUAUGGAAAAAAAUCAUGUAUUCGUGAUUUAUUCUCUUCUAUGCUGCAAAAAUGAAUGGCUUCUUCACUAGAAAUGAGAUUGAGUGAAGAUGAAGAAAAAAGUGUCCAUUGUUGUGCUUUUCCUCUCGAGUGAUGAAAAAAGCAAAAAAUCCACAAAGAAAACAUGAAAUUGUCAAAAUUUUAUUUUCCAUUCCAAUCCUACAAAUACAUGAAUCUCUGAUAA